UACAGAGGUCCCGAGCGUUGUUCGGAUUCAUUGGGCGUAAAGGGUGCGUAGGCGGCGGGGCAAGUCUGAUGUGAAAUCCUGGGGCUCAACCUCAGAACUGCAUUGGAUACUGCCCUGCUAGAGUACUGGAGAGGGAACUGGAAUUUACGGUGUAGCAGUGAAAUGCGUAGAGAUCGUAAGGAAGGCCAGUGGCGAAGGCGAGGUCCUGGACAGUUACUGACGCUGAGGCACGAAGGCCAGGGGAGCAAACGGG
rnacentral:rRNA from 1 species